rnacentral:misc_RNA from 1 species
UAUCCCUGUGGGCUUUGCGCU